rnacentral:tRNA from 1 species
ACUAUUUUGGCAGAAUUAAGUGCGGUAAAUUUAGAAUUUACAAAUAUAAUUAAUAUUAUAAGUAGUA